UUUUUUUCUGCAGCAAAGAAU
ensembl:piRNA 21ur-13746 ncRNA